CAGCAGCCGCGGGAAAACGAAGGGGGCUAGCGUUGCACGGAAUGACUGGGCGUAAAGGGCGCGUAGGCGGCGAUCAAAGUCAGGCGUGAAAUUCCUGGGCUCAACCUGGGGGCUGCGCUUGAUACUUGGUUGCUUGAGUGGGGAAGAGGGUCGUGGAAUUCCUAGUGUAGAGGUGAAAUUCGUAGAUAUUGGGAAGAACACCGGUGGCGAAGGCGGCGACCUGGUCCUUGACUGACGCUGAGGCGCGAAAGCGUGGGGAGCAAACAGGAUUAGAUACCCCCGUAGUCCCUGUCUCUUAUAC
rnacentral:rRNA from 1 species